GGAGGUUAGUGCAAUGGCAUAAGCCAGCUUGACUGCGAGCGUGACGGCGCGAGCAGGUGCGAAAGCAGGUCAUAGUGAUCCGGUGGUUCUGAAUGGAAGGGCCAUCGCUCAACGGAUAAAAGGUACUCCGGGGAUAACAGGCUGAUACCGCCCAAGAGUUCAUAUCGACGGCGGUGUUUGGCACCUCGAUGUCGGCUCAUCACAUCCUGGGGCUGAAGUAGGUCCCAAGGGUAUGGCUGUUCGCCAUUUAAAGUGGUACGCGAGCUGGGUUUAGAACGUCGUGAGACAGUUCGGUCCCUAUCUGCCGUGGGCGCUGGAGAACUGAGGGGGGCUGCUCCUAGUACGAGAGGACCGGAGUGGACGCAUCACUGGUGUUCGGGUUGUCAUGCCAAUGGCACUGCCCGGUAGCUAAAUGCGGAAGAGAUAAGUGCUGAAAGCAUCUAAGCACGAAACUUGCCCCGAGAUGAGUUCUCCCUGACCCUUUAAGGGUCCUGAAGGAACGUUGAAGACGACGACGUUGAUAGGCCGGGUGUGUAAGCGCAGCGAUGCGUUGAGCUAACCGGUACUAAU
rnacentral:rRNA from 1 species